UUUGUUGUUGACUUCCACAUUGAAAGAGACUUCCUCUUCAGAUCUUUUGCAUCCUGGUUAUCUACUUCAUUGAAAACAAGCAAGGAUAUAAUGAAGUCGGCUGUAUUGUUUAUUGUGCUUUUGAAUUUGUGCAUGUAUACGACAAUGUGGGCAAUUGAACAUGAAAUCCUCACAGUGCUGGGAACUCCACUACCCAACCUAUAGUGGGCGGUCUACUUUCUGAUGGCCUCACUCUCUUGGCCAUGGGGUAGGCUAAAUUUGGGAAGAGUUUAAACAGACAGGUUAUUUGUUAUUUGUUGCAUAUUAAAUCUUAUUCAUCAUAAUUGUAAGUUGUUCACUUUCAACAUUAAUAGUUUGAUUUUACUUAAAACUCACUGGAAUGACUAAUAUCGAGUCUACACUUCAUGCAAAUUGGUGCGGAAGGAAAUCCAUUUGCACAGUUGAAACUCGCGUCUGAAAAUGGUGGAGUCAUUUGCAACUGCGGUAUAUACUCCAGGGUUGUCAUUCAAUUGCAUCGCUGGAUACAACGUACGAG